GAAAGGGUAUCAGGUUAGCAGCUGAGUCCCGCCAAGCCCCACCCCCAAACCCCCUAGCUUUGAAACCUCUGAGCAUGCUGCCCUCGCCCCACCUCGCUUACCCAUGUGCCCCUCUGCACUCCAAUUUCCUAACCUCUUGAUGUCUCUUUCAAAAGGUGGGGACCCAAACUGUAUGCACUGUUCCAGAUGCGUUCUUGCCAAAGCAGCAUAAAGCAGAUGUAACGGGAUGGCACCUCCCUCCUCAUGAGUUGCGGUCAAGCUGAAGGAGCUGAGCCAGCCCGUGCUAUAGCGUCCCGUCCUGCGUCAUCUUGACCUUCUUGAUAGUCCGCGUCCGCCAGGCUCUUCACCAGUCAAGGACACCAUCCUCCGAUAAAUCACUCCGCUGUCAGCUCGAGUUUAUGAAAGUGAGAUUUUUAUCCGUGACUAUGGUCAAGUGAUUAUUGUAAGUGCUAUUUUAGCUAGGAUGGUCUCUUGUUGUAUUUUGGAAGACUCUCUGGAUUCGUGAGAAAGGGGUAUUAAGAGUGCUCCCUCGCACGGGACACUUCCGAUUUCCCAGGGUAAGAAAGUCAUCCAGCUGUGUUGUACAUGCGUGCUGAGUGAGAAGGUCAAAGAACUGGUUCAUAAGCUUUAUUAAUAAAGUUAUUGUGUGCCUCCCUCAGUCUGGCUGUAUUUAAAAAUCACUUUAACGUGCUCACCAUGAUGACAGAUGGUUAGAAAAUUCCUUAGUUCUAAAUGAAACCGCA
rnacentral:lncRNA from 1 species